rnacentral:rRNA from 1 species
ACUUAAAUUGAAGAGUUUGAUCAUGGCUCAGAUUGAACGCUGGCGGCAGGCCUAACACAUGCAAGUCGAGCGGUAGCACAGAGAGCUUGCUCUCGGGUGACGAGCGGCGGACGGGUGAGUAAUGUCUGGGAAACUGCCUGAUGGAGGGGGAUAACUACUGGAAACGGUAGCUAAUACCGCAUAAUGUCGCAAGACCAAAGUGGGGGACCUUCGGGCCUCAUGCCAUCAGAUGUGCCCAGAUGGGAUUAGCUUGUAGGUGGGGUAACGGCUCACCUAGGCGACGAUCCCUAGCUGGUCUGAGAGGAUGACCAGCCACACUGGAACUGAGACACGGUCCAGACUCCUACGGGAGGCAGCAGUGGGGAAUAUUGCACAAUGGGCGCAAGCCUGAUGCAGCCAUGCCGCGUGUGUGAAGAAGGCCUUCGGGUUGUAAAGCACUUUCAGCGGGGAGGAAGGCGGUGAGGUUAAUAACCUCAUCGAUUGACGUUACCCGCAGAAGAAGCACCGGCUAACUCCGUGCCAGCAGCCGCGGUAAUACGGAGGGUGCAAGCGUUAAUCGGAAUUACUGGGCGUAAAGCGCACGCAGGCGGUCUGUCAAGUCGGAUGUGAAAUCCCCGGGCUCAACCUGGGAACUGCAUUCGAAACUGGCAGGCUAGAGUCUUGUAGAGGGGGGUAGAAUUCCAGGUGUAGCGGUGAAAUGCGUAGAGAUCUGGAGGAAUACCGGUGGC